rfam:Bacillus sp. FJAT-27986 scaffolf10, whole genome shotgun sequence.
GCGGGUGUGGCGGAAUUGGCAGACGCACCAGACUUAGGAUCUGGCGCCUUACGGCGUGGGGGUUCAAGUCCCUUCACCCGCA